GGUCAAGGAUGGACUCGCGGCCUAUCAGCUAGUUGGUGGGGUAAUGGCCUACCAAGGCGACGAUGGGUAGCCGGCCUGAGAGGGUGUCCGGCCACACGUGGGACUGAGAUACCGGCCCAGACUCCUACGGGGAGGCAGCAGUCGAGAAGCUUCGGCAAGUGGGACGAAAGCCUGACCGAGCGAUGCCGCGUGAGCGAAGAACGGCCCUAGUGGGUUAGUAAAGCUCUGUCAGAGUUGGGAAGAACGCGUCCGGGGUUAAUACCCUCGGGGUUUGACGGUACCAUCAGAGGAAGCACCGGCUAACUCCGUG
rnacentral:rRNA from 1 species